AUGGGGUUGGAAGGGGCGGUUGGAGGAAGGGCGGCGUUCCAGUGGUGGCGGCGGACCCGGCGACGUGCGGUUGCCGCGGAGGACGUUGAUGACGGCGGCUGCGGAGGGCUAGAAGGGAGGGGAGGCAGCAGGACGGAUGUGAACCUCGCCGUUCCGGCGCCGGCGCGGUGCAGCACCCGUCAGCAGGGGAAGGGGGGAUGCGGGGCGGUGGGGGGCGGGCGCGUUACGCGCGUAGGAGGCGGCGGCGGCGAUGCGGCCCGCUUCCUCGGCAACGACGACGGCUCCGGCGGGAGGCGGCGGCCACAGGCGAUCCGAGGCAGCGGCGGGGUAGGGAAAUCGGGAGCGCAGCCACGCGAGCGGAGCGGCGCCGGCGGGCGCGCAGGAGGCGAGCGGCGGGCGGCGCCGCGCAGGAGGAUAGAAGAACAACCAACCACAAAAUCGCUAAUCCGGGUGGGUCAGAUUGCGGUUUAUUUCGGCCCACCUCCGCUUCCUACCGUCGAUCUCCUCAUCGCGAGUUCGCCCGCCGCCUCCGCCGCCGAUCUCCAUUCCGCGAGCAGCGGCCGCCGGCGUCCUGCUGUUCCCGCCGCAUCCUCGCCGGCCGCUUCGAAAUGGCGAUACAUAUACAACAGAAAAGAAGUACAGCAUCAGGUCGUUGUCAUGGCAAACCAAUUUCCGAGAAACGAAGGCCCAGUGUUAAAUUGGAAGACCUUCCAGAGUGGUUUUUGUGAGUUUUACGAUGAUCCUCAUGAAAGAGAACAAUACUCUCAGAAAUUCGCUGAAAAAGUUAAUGCAGUUUUGCGGAAGUAUGAUGGCAAGUUGAUCGAAGAAUUUGAUGUCAAGAUCGAAUUUGAUGCCGUGCUGAGUGAUCACCUCAACAAUUGGCUUACUUUUGCCAUGUUAUCACGGACCAAGAACCUAGCUUUCGAUUUAGAGCCUGCUACAUCGUACAGUUGGGGUGAUUGUCACACAUUUCCAUUUCACCUAUUGGAUCGUGAAAGCAUUUUCCGUCUACAGCAUAUUCAGCUUAGCUUCUUGUCUUUCAAACCACCACCUGAUUUCAGAGGAUUCCCAAACCUUAGAAAGCUUGAUCUGAAUUUAGUGCAUCUCAACAGAGAGGAUCUUGAAGUUAUGUUGCACGGUUGCCAUAAUCUUGAAUGGCUGAGCUUAGUCAGGUGCUAUCUCAAUGGCAAACUGGAGUUGUGUAAUCCAUUAUCCCGCCUGGCACACCUAGCAGUAAUCCAAUGUGGUGCAACCAUGGUAGAAAUCCACGUUCCCAAGCUUGCUAACUUCAAAUAUCAUGGAGACUUUGUGUCUAUCGCCAUAAAUCCCGCAUCGAAGCUGGAAAACGCAUACAUUUGGUUCUUCAAGGCAACUUUCGAGGACGCUCUUUCUGCACUUCUCAAUGGCAUUCCGAGCAUACAAAAUCUGACUUUGCAUAUUUAUUGGCUACGUAUAGAGGCGCAAAUGCCAAGUAACACAUGCAUCUUUCCUCAUCUGAGACACCUGCAGUUGCUGAUGAACAUACAACUUGAAUAUGCCAACAAGGUCCCGAAUGUGGUUUCUUCCUUAAUGAGGGCAGCUCCAUUCCUUCAAAAGUUAGAGGUUCAUUUUGGUGGCAAUGAUAAGAUAUGGUUUGCAGACCAGGGGCCUGGUAUGCCGCAGCUUAUGCGCUGCGAAUACAGUUGUCUGAAGAAUGUGCACAUUACAGGGUACAAAGGGGCGAGAUGCCAGAUUGAGUUUCUUCUGCACAUAGUGGAAAACGCCCCUACACUGGAGGCAUUGACCAUAGACACAACUCAGGUACUAUAUGAAGAUUAUUAUGGCGCCAGAAUUGGCAGCAAGUUCUCCGAGUGUGUUGCUGUAGUUGCUAGGGAUUUUCUCCGUAGAAAGCUCCCGACAAAGGUGAAGCUCCACGUCAUGUAAGACUUGUUUA
rnacentral:lncRNA from 1 species